CAGACUGUUCCCACAGCCAUUUCUGACCUUGUCCAAGAAACCUGCACGCCUCCAUCUCUACUGAGACAGGAGCCUGCAAGCUGGGCUAGGAACUGCAGAGACACUCAUGAAAAAGAAUAGGGGUUGUCCGAAUCUUUUAAAGAGCUGAUACAGAUGAGAGCAUACAGACUUAGGGUUUUUCUUUUGUUUUUGUUUUUGUUUUUUGUGGUUACUGUUUUGCCUAAAGCUGAAUGAUUAGUGAACAUAGGCUAUUGAUCAGAGGAAUUAUCUUGCAGGGGCUUGAGGGUUUGGAUUUAUUUUUACUGCAGACUGCACCUGACCAGCUCUUCUGCCCACUGUGGAUGGUCCUAGGGAUUGUGGCCAAGUCUCUGUGAUGUGUGACACGCAGCACAGCAUCCCCUCACAGGCGGCAAUACUGAAACUGAGGAAGACACUGGGGUGAGAGGAGAAAGCUCCCAUAGCCGCUGGCCAGCUUUGCACAAGCCUCAUUGUAUGGAUGGAAAACCUUUCAAAAGUCGAAUGAUGGCGUAAUAGUUGCACAGACCGUGACUGAUUAAGUUUGGCCCUGAGCGCAGAUCCACAAGAGAACAGAUCUUCAGAAGAGACGUUGGAUGCGUGGAAUCACUGUCUGCAGCAAGAGCCAUGAGCAAUCUUCUUCUUCUUCUUUUUAAAUUUCAGUUUCCAUUUGUGUAUUACAUAUGUGUUUGUGUCACAGUGCACAUGUGGAGGUCAGAGGACCGUUUGUUACCCCUUUCCACUGUGUGGUGCUAUGGGAAUCAAUCUCGGAUCUUCAGGCUUGGUAGAAAGUUCCUUUUUAAAAAAAAAACAAAAAAUCUUGAGUAAAUCCUGAUUCUCUUUU